GAUGAACGCUAGCGGCAGGCUUAACACAUGCAAGUCGAGGGGCAGCAGGGGUAGCAAUACUCGCUGGCGACCGGCAAACGGGUGCGGAACACGUACGCAAUCUACCUUUAUCCGGGGCAUAGCCCAGUGAAAACUGGAUUAACACCCCAUAAGAUACCAGAGUGGCAUCACUCAGGUUUUAAAAAUUUAUUGGAUAGAGAUGAGCGUGCGUCCCAUUAGCUAGUGGGUAGGGUAAAGGCCUACCAAGGCGACGAUGGGUAGCUGGUGUGAGAGCACGACCAGCCACACGGGCACUGAGACACGGGCCCGACUCCUACGGGAGGCAGCAGUGAGGAAUAUUGGUCAAUGGACGCAAGUCU
rnacentral:rRNA from 1 species